GGAUUAGAUACCCUGGUAGUCCACGCCGUAAACGAUGAGUGCUAGUUGUCUGCAGGCAUGCCUGUAGGUGACGCAGCUAACGCAUUAAGCACUCCGCCUGGGGAGUACGGCCGCAAGGUUAAAACUCAAAGAAAUUGACGGGGGCCCGCACAAGCGGUGGAGCAUGUGGUUUAAUUCGAAGCAACGCGCAGAACCUUACCUACGCUUGACAUGCCUGGACGACUCCGAGAGAUCGGUUUCUCCCUUCGGGGCCAGUGCACAGGUGCUGCAUGGCUGUCGUCAGCUCGUGCUG
rnacentral:rRNA from 1 species